CAGCCGCCGCGGGAAUACGGAGGGUGCGAGCGUUAAUAGGAAUUACUGGGCGUGAAGCGUACGCAGGCGGUUUGUUAAGUCAGAUGUGAAAUCCCCGAGCUUAACUCGGGAACUGCAUUUGAAACUGGCAGGCUAGAGUCUCGUAGAGGGGAGUAGAAUUCCAGGUGUAGCGGUGAAAUGCGUAGAGAUCUGGAGGAAUACCGGUGGCGAAGGCGGCCCCCUGGACGAAGACUGACGCUCAGGUACGAAAGCGUGGGGAGCAAACAGGAUUAGAUACCCCGGUAGUCUCUGUCUCUUAUAC
rnacentral:rRNA from 1 species